AACGUUCUGUUAACACAAUAGAUGCCUCUUUGCUAUCCUCACCACCGCCACAAUUGUCGACCGCAGUGAGAGAAGGCAGCUUUCUAAAUGCGAGGCUGACCCUCAGCAUAUCUCCCUGGUUUCCUCUAAGCACAGAGACAGGACACACCUGGUGACAGCUCUUGAUGACAAUCUUCACCUCCCACCAGUCCAGCUCUGCAGUCUGCUGCACAGUGUUGUACACCACGCCCACUGCAUGGCUGAUGUAGUGAGGAGACCCUGCAAAAGCAUGGAGGGGCUGAGAGGAGCAUGGAUUUCCACUGCAGGAGCCAUCAACCACAGCUUCGGCAGCAGCAAGAGCCAAGGCCUGAGCAGCUCCUGACAGAGCUGUGGGGCUGGUGUGAGGAGGUCCCCACUUCUUCCUGGCCACCUCAAGCUGUGCCAGGGCUUGCAUCUGAGCAACUCCCCAAAUCCUCUAGCAGUGCUUUGUACAAGGCUUUCAUCCACCUCAUCUGUAGCCCUUCUCAGACUCAUUUCCAGGACUGCUUAGAAAAAAAGCCCUAGCCAGAGCAAAGGAAGGAUGGCACAGCACAGGAGCCAUCUCUGGUGACUGUUAGGUUUGGGAUAGCAGCACAGGAAUGAGGAGGGCUCCCCAUCCUGCAGUGCAGUGUGUGCAUUCCAAUGGUGUGCCUUUUAGGGCUGAAAGGCCCUAAAAUCUGUGAAGACCUUUUUGCAGAGCUGUGGGACAAUGUGCUGUUUUGACAUAGUUGUAUCCAUCAGCAAAGCUGCAGAGCAGUGAGCCUCUGCAUGUGGGGUUCUCUCACUCGGGCAGGCAGCUGCAGAGGCAGAGCUGCAUAAACACUGAUGGGAAAGGCUGCGUGGGUAAGGAGACCAAGAGCAUGAGAGAUCAGAAGCCUUCUGUCUCAGUACUUUGUGUUUCUUGCACCCUUUGUGCAAAACAGAGCUAAUAGCACCAGUCCUGCCUAAUGCUGAGCACAUUAAAGGUCACUGGGUGCUCAAACAAUUCAUCAGGGAUGUUACAUAAAUACACAAGUAAGUCUGUACUUCAUCUCACACCUCAAGAGGGUCCCAAGCUGUUGUAUGGGGAGUUAGUAACAGUGUGGGCUGUAAAGCUGCCCACAGCACUGUGAUAAAUAUAUUGAGGCAGCGCAGCACAGAGCUGCAC
rnacentral:lncRNA from 1 species